UACAGGAGGUGCGAGCGUUAAUCGGAAUUACUGGGCGUAAAGCGAGCGUUAGUCGGUUAUUUAAGUCGGGUGUGAAAUCCCCGGGCUCAACCUGGGAAUUGCAUUCGAUACUGGAUAGCUGAGAGUUCGGCAGAGGGAAGCGGAAUUUCCGGUGUAGCGGUGAAAUGCGUAGAUAAUCGGAAGGAACAUCAGUGGCGAAGGCGGCAUCCUGGACCAACACUGACGCUGAGUGAGCGAAAGCCAGGGGAGCAAACGGGGAUUAAGAUGACC
rnacentral:rRNA from 1 species